AACCACAUUCGUAAAAUGUGUCAAUAGGGUUUCGCUGUUUAAAUAGGUCCUCUACUUCUUAGCUAAGCACCCAAAACUGAAACAAUAUUUUAUUGUCUAAAUAAAGGGGCUUCUUUGAAAAAAGAAAAUCUCAGAAUAUAGAGAUUUCUGAUCGAAAGAAAAUUGUUUUAAAUGUAGGGGGGAGGUAAUUGUAUACAUUUCAGCCAAUCACUACAAUUGCUACUUUGUAGACGUUGAUCUUCUUGUGAACAAACCUUCAUUUGGAUGGAAAGACAUCAGUCGUGCGAGACGACAGAGCUGCACCACAAUGAUCGGUCAACUGGCUGCUUUGAUUCUUCUUUGUACGACGUCUCUGAUUGAAUCGGCAGAGGAUCCUCACCUUAUCUCUUUGGCUGUGGUAGAAGUUGGUGGAAAUUUUACUUUUCAAUGUCCAGUUUACACAGGCAACCUACGUUCUCUGUUCAAGCAGUCUAUUGGACAAAUGGCCCAGCCAGUCUUUAACUUGAUUUUUGGCAAACUAACAGUUACUGAACCUUUUUUAGAUACACGGUUCAAAGCAACAAAAGAGGAUACUCAUUAUCUUUUCACAAUCAGAAAUGCCAGAAAAGAGGACGAAGCUUUCUGUCUCACUGGAUCGACGUAUUCACAGAGUUUUGGCAUUGGCAUCUUCUUGGCUGUGAAUGAGGAGAUCUGUCUACGUGAAGCAAAGUCCGAAGACCAAGUCAGUCCAGCCCGGCGACACAGUGACUCUGGAGUGUUCACUUAUCUCCAAAAACAAAGAAAGCGCAGAUUAGUGUCCAGGUGAACACAAUGUUUCCUGGUUCAGAUCUGGAUCAGGAAAAUCCCAUCCAAGCAUCCUUUACACUCACAGUGAGGAACAAAAGGAACGCAGUUGUGUCUUCAGUCUGUCCAAAACUAUACACAAGUCCUCUGAUACCGGGACGUAUUACUGUGCUGUGGCUACAUGUGGACAGAUCCUGUUUGGAGAAGGAACUACAGUGGAGACAAGAACCGUCUCACAGACAAGCGAUGUAUUUCUGCUUCUGCCGUCUGUGGUCUCGGAUAUUAGUGUGAUUGUUAUAGCCAUCCUUAUUCACGCCAUCAAGAAAAACAAGUGUGAUUAUUGCCAUAAUAAAGCUGCUGUAUCCCUGCAAGAAAAUGUUGCAAAAAGGAAUGUAAAGAGAAAUGAAGACCCGUGGAUUUAUUCUACUGUCGUCUUCACCGUGAUGGAAACUGGCCCCGGGGUCUACACGGCUGCCAAGGCUUUUUGAUCUGAGUAAAAUGUGGAGUCAGCGAUUCUCAAGAAAGAUUGUUGAUAUUUGAUCUUAAAACAAAUACCCCCUUCGUAAUAAGAAAAUGCAUUUUGUUCCAUUUUUGUAUGUUGAACUUUUUUGUCAAACACACAGAUAUUAAUGAAUGCCUGUCAAACAUCUAUACUUUGUCUUUAUCAACUUGGUAGAGGAAAGCAGGAAGAGUCUAUUUUCUCUCUCUUUUCUGCUCAUCUCCGUACCCUACACCAGGGGGCAUUAAAAGGUCUUGUUUUUUUUUCUUUUAAACCCACAUUUGCUGCUGGGUGAUGAUUAUUAAGGGGACACAUUUUCAAUCAUUUGCAUCCACAAGAACAAUGCACAGUAAUAAAAUGAAUAGCUUAUCUUAGAUGCAGCAUCGUUUUUUUUGCUGAACAUUGAUUACCCGCAUAUUCUCUCCGGGUGUUUGAAAAGUGUAUUAUUUUCAACUUGAGCCAUUCUCAGUCACAUCAACAACUAGCUAUUUAAAAGCAAAAUAUAAAGCAAAGUAAUUAACAGCACAACAUUUGUUAAAAACAUGCAAAGCUGAGCUAAGCCAAAGCUCAUACGGGCGCGUGGUGCUGUGUGUGGUUUGCUCUCACAGCAGAGUACACACACUCCUGUGGUAAGUCUUGCUUUUGCUUCACUGUUUUCACUUUUCUUGUGGAGUAAUUCAGUGCUGCAUAGUUUACCGCCUCUUCGUCUCCAUCCUGCAAAUCAUAUAGUCUAUUGAACAUACAUUCCUUAAAUAUUAGGCCUGUAAAAUGAAAAACACUUCAUCCAAACCAAGUCUAGUGUUUGAAUGUUUUAGUCUAAAGUCAGAAAAAGGAUGCUUUUUGCCUCCAUAUUUGGUGCUUAGUUUCAAAGUUACAAACAUAUUUACCAGGUCAGUUGAUUCAUCCACUGCCGCCUCGUUGGUUUUAGGAUUACGGAUGGUACAUGUUGCUACUGCAGAAAAAGUUAAAUAAUGUUAGAUGGGGUUGAAUUGUUCAAUUGUCAAUUGAGUUUUACCCUUUUGUGGGACUUUUACUUUUGAAUUUAGUUUAGAAAUAUAACUACAGGAAACUGUAGUUAUGAGUUCACAGAAUAUGUUUAGUACAUGUAUGGUGACAUGUUCUGGACAUAGAUAAGUUGCUAAGUUUCUAAUUAUAUUCUCUAUACACCUUGUUGUCAAGAAACCCUAACUCUUUCUUUUUGGUAAAUGAUGAUGCCAGAGUGCGGGGAGUUUUACUCGACUGAAUUAUAUUGUUAGGUGAUCCUACUAAGUGUCAAUAGUGUAAGAAUGCACAGUAUAAUGACCGAGGAUUGUUUUAUGUUAAUCGCUUUGUAAAUAGCCAUCAGUUUGUUUUUGUUUUUUUUCUUUCCUUGGUUUCUUCCCUCAGAUAAAAAUAUGCAGGUCAGAAAUUGUGUCAGGAUGAAUGUGUUCCUGUGAUAAUCUGAGGCUGUUGAUCUGCUGCUUCCUCUAACAAGCUCUCUGCAAAGUGUGUAUGUGUCGAGGAUGGGUGGUUUGACAGCCCUCCUUUGCACGCUGUGUUCUUCCUGCUGAAGUGACAGGCAGAGGGGGCGGGUCAUCAGAAAUUACGUGAAGGUUAGAUUCGCUGGCUUGCACAGUAUUUAACAUGGCUGCUCUGUGUUUUCACUAUGGCAAAUGGCAGGUUAUAUGUUCUGUGUACACUAAUCAAAAAAGAUAAAUAAAUGCAUUUCUAAUUCAGCCGCAACAACAAUGUGGUAGGAUUAAACCUAAGAGACCGAUAUAGGCUGUUGUUUGUUGUUUGCUUGUUGCAUUACAAGCAAUGCAGUUAUAUUGAAAUGUUAAUGGUGCCAGAUUUUCAAGGUAAUAUUUAUUUAAUGUAAAUUAAUUGAAAAUCUUCAGUUUAUUGAACCAUUUGCCUUUUACAAAAGAUGGCAGAAAGCACACUUUUUAAUCAUACAUACAGGAAUACAUUUAAAGCAGAAAAGGGUUGGAAAUAUUGUUGAUGGCGUGAAGAACAAAUAAAUAAGCUUUGAUCGAUAAAAAUCGUCAGCUUAAUGAGAUGUAAUGUUAUGACGUUUACAAAUUGGAUCGUGUUUCUUAAAAUACACAAUAUGUCUCUUAUUUGACCAUCAACAUUUACUACUGGUAUGUUGAAAGGUUUGGUGUUUUGUAAAAUGUCAACUAAUGGUACAUGGGACAUGAUAAAUGAUAUAAACAAAUAUGCAGUGCAUUCGCUUAGCCUUCAAUAUGCC